UACGAAGGGGGCUAGCGUUGCUCGGAAUCACUGGGCGUAAAGCGCACGUAGGCGGACUCUUAAGUCAGGGGUGAAAUCCUGGAGCUCAACUCCAGAACUGCCUUUGAUACUGGGAGUCUUGAGUUCGGGAGAGGUGAGUGGAACUGCGAGUGUAGAGGUGAAAUUCGUAGAUAUUCGCAAGAACACCAGUGGCGAAGGCGGCAUCCUGGACCGGCAUUGACGCUGAGGAGCGAAAGCUAGGGGAGCAAACGGG
rnacentral:rRNA from 1 species